GCUGGUGGGUGUUGAUCACUGGGUUAAUUAUUAUUGCUAAUGAUUAAUUCUCUUUGCACUUUUAAGAAACCUAAAACUACAGAAAACCUGCAAGUCUUGCCAUCAUAAAUAAGAUCUAGGCCACUGAUGCCACAGAAUCCUGUAACAUGGUUGAUAAGGGCAAGUGCUAAAGACUGAAGCCACAGAACUGCAAAGUGUCGCAUACAGUUGUUGCAAAUGCAGCACAGUUUGCAUUUUUGACAUGAAAAGACACGUCAGCCAGGUAGGAAAGAAAACAACCAAACCCACACCUCUGCCUCCCAUGAGCUUCUUCAACACGUGGAGCUGCACGCUUGCCAAUCAGCCACAGAUCCUUAUCAGCUCUCUGAUGUCCUCUUUGUCGUCUUCCCUCUACAGUCUCCUUUCAAAUCAUUGUACAACCUCUAGAGCGGCAGUAUAAAAACACCACCAUGCUGAACUACUCCACCAGCUGCAAAGCAACGAUGAACCAGACCCUAGGUCUUGCCUUACCAUCCCAGCCCUAAUGGCUAUAAAACGUCCCCUCCAGCUGUGCUCUAUGAUACACAGUACAGCAAACCCAGGGAGCAUCCUUACCUGGAUAGAGUUCGGCUGCGGCAGCUGCUGCAACAGAGAGGAAGCGUGUUUUCUGUUUGACGGCUAAGCUCCAAGUUACAACCGCUCUGACGAUGCCUGGCUGUGUGGUUACUCAUGGUCUUCUCUUCACAAAUCAGCUAGCACACCCAACCACCAUCAAUCUUUGGUCACUGCUUCCUCAUGUUGGAGUCUAGCACAAAAUUACCUCUGCGCUUGGCACCUUUGGAUCAUGGGCGAGUACCAUUGCUUCCUCGCUGCCUAAGACUGAUCUCUCAGGAACGGGCUUCAAGCGUGUUGGUGGGGCAAGAUGGAGGAAGCUAGUGCUGCGACUUUCCCUGGUGCACCAGUUCUGCUGGUUAGUAGAGAUCGGACUGCCUCCUUCGGGGUGCCUAUCCAGCACCUCUCACUGAAGCCCCCUGUACCGGUGGCCAGAACCCGGGCAGUGUGAUUGCCACUGAAAAAAUCAGCUCGUGUGCCGCCUUCGGCACUCGUGCCAUUGGUUGCCUACCCCUGUUCUAGUGGAAGACAGCUCAAGCUUUAAUUCAAGAACGCCACUGCUCAAGCCAAGUUUUAUUUAACCAAAAGCAAUUUGGUUUUGCUCCAGCUCUACUGCUUGGGAAUUGUGCUCAAGACGCGGCCUUCUUUUCAGCCAGAGAGAAUCUUGCUGCUGGGGACUUUUGCUUUGUGACCUGAAAUAGCAACAGCAAGAAGCACCUUUUUUCAGAACUUCGUUCUUUUAAGAAAUGAAACAUGACAAAGCUGGGCAGGGUGGUG